GACGAACGCUGGCGGCGUGCCUAAUACAUGCAAGUCGAACGCUUCUUUUUCCACCGGAGCUUGCUCCACCGGAAAAAGAAGAGUGGCGAACGGGUGAGUAACACGUGGGUAACCUGCCCAUCAGAAGGGGAUAACACUUGGAAACAGGUGCUAAUACCGUAUAACAAUCAAAACCGCAUGGUUUUGAUUUGAAAGGCGCUUUCGGGUGUCGCUGAUGGAUGGACCCGCGGUGCAUUAGCUAGUUGGUGAGGUAACGGCUCACCAAGGCCACGAUGCAUAGCCGACCUGAGAGGGUGAUCGGCCACAUUGGGACUGAGACACGGCCCAAACUCCUACGGGAGGCAGCAGUAGGGAAUCUUCGGCAAUGGACGAAAGUCUGACCGAGCGACGCCGCGUGAGUGAAGAAGGUUUUCGGAUCGUAAAACUCUGUUGUUAGAGAAGAACAAGGAUGAGAGUAACUGUUCAUCCCUUGACGGUAUCUAACCAGAAAGCCACGGCUAACUACGUGCCAGCAGCCGCGGUAAUACGUAGGUGGCAAGCGUUGUCCGGAUUUAUUGGGCGUAAAGCGAGCGCAGGCGGUUUCUUAAGUCUGAUGUGAAAGCCCCCGGCUCAACCGGGGAGGGUCAUUGGAAACUGGGAGACUUGAGUGCAGAAGAGGAGAGUGGAAUUC
rnacentral:rRNA from 1 species